ACACGAGAGAGGAGGUGGUCCGUAACUUGCUGAGCUACAGGACUCGUGAGGUGGCUGUCCGCUAGCCGCCGUCCAGAUGGGCCGCCCGUUCAGACGAGAGUUCUGAACGACGGCAGAUCGCCCGUCCGUCGUACGGCGGCGAGCGAGAACCGGACAGUCACCCGACCCCCGGGCCGCCGACAUUUGUCCAGUCGGCCCGCGAG
rnacentral:sRNA from 1 species